GUUGUUAGUAAGGCUGCUAUGCUACUAAAAAUAUUUUCAAGCAACUUCUGUGAACAAAUUCCCAACCUUUUUCACAUACAUCACAGGAACUGGCAUUUCACUUUGUCUCUGUGACAAGACCAAUGCAGAGGAAAGAGAAGAAAGGAGGGAAAUUGUGAAGAUGCAAAGCUCCAGAGAAAAAAAUAUGUAGGCUGAGAUAACAUUGUUAGUUUUUUUUAACUGCCUUUGGAAAAAAACCAUAGAGUCACCAGGAGAUGAAAUUCCUGGAGUCAACCUCCUUCAUUUUCUGAAGAUAUUUGUAACCAUAUCUUUCAUUUCAUGGGUAUUUGCUAGCAGGAGAAAUUUCCUAGCUCUUUGUUUUUGAUGAAGAUCCACUCUGCUUUAAUAGACAUUCACAGAAGCAAAGACUGAGCUCAGCUCUUCCAGCUCCUGAAUACACUGCUGUGCUCCAAGUUUCAUUAUCAAGAAUGCAUUUUAUACCAACAGAAGAUUUCCUAAGGAAAAAUGAGAAUGGCCGUUCUUACAGCACUGCUUCCUCUGGUGGUUCAACAUUAAUUCUUCUGCAGUGUCUGCAGAACAACUCCCUGUUAUUGAAAGAAAUGGACAUACGUACAUUUCUAGUGUGGAAUAUUUGAGUUCCUGUUAGCAUUUAAGUGGAAUACACAAACUAGAAUUAAAAAAUACCAUAGUCUGUGAAGGUUAUCUAUAUUGACUAUACUAGCUCAGUUGCCUAUAAACAGAAAUGAGACUAGAAAUAGGUUGAAGAGAGAUGUCAGUGUGUGUAUGGUCUUUAAAAAGUUAAUAGUACAUGAUCUAUCAGUUUUAUUAGUGCAGUUUUGUUGUCUUUUUCCUUAUAGUCAUCUUUUGGUUGGUUACAAAUAGAAUGACCUUUGGUGAGAUUGCACUCUAGAUGCAGAUAUUUAGAUGCAAGGGUCUAAACUAUAUGCAUCUAAAAGGAGAGGAGGUGAUGAAACACUUCUUGUCAAUGAAGCUUUUCUGCUGACAGAAUGUAGAUGUCUGCUACUGCACAAGAUCAGCAGCCUCCUAGACCUCCCUGACAGGCCCAGACAGGCCAGCUGGUGCCACUUGAGAUGCCUUAAGAUACUACACCGGUCUUUCUAUUUUUGUUCCAGAAACAUGCAGAUUUUCUGUAGAUCUGGUAUCAUGUUUGUAAGCCCCAUGAGGAUGACCUAUGGCACCUUAGCUGGCAUUAUAUGUCUCUAUUUAGACAACUAAAUCCCGUCCAAAACGUUUAGUGAAAUUAUUUCAACAAGAACUGAUAUUCAGUUGCAGUAUUUUGUUCCUAUUUAAGUAAUUUUGGUUAAAAAAAAGCCAAACCAUUGACCGUAAAAACGAAACAGUAUACCAACUUCUAUGUGAAAGAAUACAGAUUUUGUACUAAUGCAGUAUUAUGCAUCAUCACUUACAUCAAGCAAUAUUGGUGCUCAGAAAAUUAUUUCAUAAAUCACAUUUGAUCUGUGACAAUACAGUACUGAACAUAUCCCCUACCUAUAUGAGAUAGCAUUUUCUGAUCUAAAAACCUGCAAUGAAUUCAGUAUAAUUUUGAAUUAAAUGUUGAUUAUCUAUAGCCUAGCCUAUACUUAAAUACCUUUAUUAAUAAUGAUUUUAUUUUUCAGGCUUUUUUUUUCUCUUGCAUUGGAUUAAAGACCUUAAACUUUCUGUACGACUGUCAAUCUCAGUGUGACCAUAUACACAAAAAAGGUUACUCUAAGAAAACCUUAAGCUGCAAAAAUCAUUCUACAGCAAUGAAUUAAAAGUUUGAUUCUGCUUCCUAUAAAA